rnacentral:misc_RNA from 1 species
UGGCUCUCGCAUCGAUGAAGAACGCAGCGAAAUGCGAUAAGUAAUGUGAAUUGCAGAAUUCAGUGAAUCAUCGAAUCUUUGAACGCACCUUGCACUCCUUGGUAUUCCGAGGAGUAUGCCUGUUUGAGUGUCAUUAAAUUCUCAACCUUACCAGCUUUUACGAGCUUGUGUAAUGGCUUGGAUGUUGGGGGCUUGUGCUGGCUUCGGUCUGCUCCCCUUAAAUGCAUUAGCCCGGUGCCCCGCGUGGAACCGUCUAUUGGUGUGAUAAUUAUCUACGCCGUGGACGUCCGUCCACUUUAAUGGGAUGUACUGCUUCUAACCGUCUGUUUAUUCAGACAAUCAAUGACAAUUUGACCUCAAAUCAGGUAGGACUACCCGCUGA